CCCCCCCCCCCCCCCCCCGAAGGAGGAGUCAACGGCAGCACCGAAGAAACCGAAAGUGCCGGCGGCAGCGCGGGCAGGGGGGCUCGAGGGGGGUCCGUGGGGCCCUGCCCUGCCCGCCCCGCCAUGGCCGGCAGCGGCUCCCGGCUCCUAGAGGAUGACUUCCAGUUCAUCUUCUGCGAGGGCUGCCAGCAGGAAUCGCCCAACCUCAAGCUCCUCACCUGCCUCCACACCUUUUGCCUCAGUUGCCUGAGCAAAAACAAGCCUGUCAGGCAGUGCCCCAAGUGCUGCACGGCCAUCCUGCAGGCCAGCGUCAUGGACAACCUGCUCUUCAUCAACCUGCAGGCCAGGCUCAAGGUCUACAAGAAGAUCAUGGAUGGAGCUGACUUCUUCUGCAACAACUGCAAGAGAGCCGGUGAGUUCUGGUGCUCCGAGUGCCAGGAGUUUCUCUGCACCCAGUGCUUUGAGGCCCACCAGCACUACCUGAAGAGGGAAAGCCAUGAAGCCAAGAGGGUGAUUGACAUCAGGGCAGGGUCUGCUAAGGACUUCCUCAAGGCUACCAGAAGGACUGGUAACUUGUCCUGCUCCAACCCGACCCACAAGAACCAAACUGUAAGCAUCUACUGCAAGAAGUGCUGCAAGCCUAUGUGCUGCAUCUGCGCGCUGCUGGACAGCCAGCAUGCCUCCUUCUGCGACAUCCGCAGUGAGACCCAGCGCAGGCAGGAGGAGCUGGGCACCAUCAGCCAGGAGCUGAGGCAGAAGAGAAGUGGCUUUGAGGCCACCUACGUGGCGCUGCAGGAUGAGGCCGCCCGGCUGGAGGAGGCAGAGCGGGAGAUGCGGGAGCUGAUCCAGCAGCGCGUGGAGCAGCUGGUGCGGCUGAUCCGACGGGAGGAAGAGGAGCUGCUGGGGCUGGUGGAGGCGCGGCAGGAGCAGGGCCGGCGGGAGCUGAUGAGGGAGCUGCAGCGUGUGGAAGGGGUGCUGCAGCGGAUGGAGGCAGGCGAGCAGCUGGUGGAGAAGAUGAGGCUCUAUGCCACAGAGCAGGAGGUGAUGGACAUGCAGCCCUUCAUCAAGGGCUCGCUGGAGGAGCUGCAGCGACUGCAGCUGCCAGCGGCUGGGGACCGAGCACAGCCCAGGAACCUCGCUGAGUGCAGAGCCAGGCUGCAGGCGCUGGUGGAGCGUGUCACGGGGCACCCAGGUGAGGAGGCACUUUGCCAGGUGGGCUGGGGAAGGGGGGACUGAAAAGAGAGUUGAAGGUUAUAUCCCUGGUUAGACCAUGUUCUCCACGAGGUUGAGGUCUCCUUCCACAUGGUGACUUGAUGGACCUGUGCCUCCAGCAUUUGCUCAUGUGGUGAGCACACUCCAACCUCCCCCAAGGAUGGCUGGGUGUUGCUGUGUCCAUCGUUCCCAAAGCAAUGCUUGUCUCAUGCCCUUGUGGGGUACAGCGGUCCCCCAAACGCAGUGGUGCUGGGAGGGAACAUGGUGAAUCACUUGGGAUGGAGCCAUGCCAUGGGUUGAAAGACAGAGGAGGUGAGUGGCACCUGGAGAUGGGGCGCGUGGAUCAGGGGCUUGCUGAGGCUGGUGUUCACAAGGAGGAAGCAGGUGGAAGGGUUGGAUCAACCACACAUCCUCUCUGAGAAAUGUUUGUGUGGGUGACAUGUGCCGGUCCCUCAGGGGUCAUAACCAUCCUCCAGGCCUUAGUGUCCUGCCACUCACUGACCACUUCUGCUCCUCACAUCUCUAGUCAGUUUGUCUUUGCUCAGCGCCUUUGUCCACAACCGCCUGGGGCAAUUCCCCUUUCUGGUUGUUGUUUACCGCCUUGGGACUUGGGACGGCUACCCAACCGGGAAGGUGAGACGUUCCCCCAGAGCACUUCCCCCAGAGCACUCCCCGACAGCGAUGGCAAGAGGUCCAUGACCACUGCUAGGUUUGCCCAGGUCUUCUCCCAGCUCUUCAGCAGAAGCACCGUGGUGGAGAUGGUGGUGGUUUGGCAAUGGUGAAGGCCUUGGCAUCUGUGCUGCGUGCAGGGACAGGUUUGGUCAGAAGGUGGUAGUGUCCUUCCAGAAAAUAGGGGAGGGGGGGAAGAAAUGGGAGGAAGAGGCUUUAUGGGGUCUUCUGCUCCGUCCCCCUGCUGCUGUGUUCAGAUCUGGGCUAUGACCAGUGUUCUCCUUGGCCCUAUGUGGCCAUCCACCACUGAGCUCCCCAGGGCAAGCUCAUGGGCUAUGGAUGAUCCAUAGAAGAGCCCAAGGGGUAGGGGUGAUGCCCUGGAUGGAGCUUGGGGUUUCCUGGAGAGGAGCUGCCUCCCACCCCACACCUUCCAUCUCCAUCACAUGCCCCCCUCCCCACAACAGGUACCUCUGCUCCCCAGCAUGACUCCCCAUCUGAGGAUGAGAUCACCCUGAUCCAUGACCUUGAGCCUCCCAGGGAGCAGUGCCAACCACAUGGAGGUCUCCCCAUGGGGCUGCCUGCCC